AAUCCCUCCAGCGACAUUAACUAUUGAUCAUCUUCAUGGGAUGAGUGAGAGCAUCAAGAGGCUGGUGGAUGCUGGCCUGGUGUUUGGUGUCCAGCAAGACCAAGAUGACCUCCGCUACUCCAGGAUAACUUUACAAGAUGGUCAACUGUAUCUCCACGUUCUCCAGCACCAACCACCACCCACCCACGCCCACACUAUCCAGAAAUUGUGCAGAUAGUUGUAAGUCCAGAGCAGCAAACCAGUGGAGGAGAAAGCAGUGAUGAAAAUGAGGAAGAUUUAGCAGAAAGUCUCUCCAUUGACAACUUACAGGUAUUGUAGUUACCUGGCCAUCGCUGUGCCACUGUGUUUUGUCAUGUUUUUCACGGUCUCUCUUGCAUAUUAGAACUUUAAACUGUGCCAGUGAACUUAUAAGAUAUAUCCCUCCAGCACUUGGAACUAAUCUAGCAGAAAAUAAUGUCUACUGAGUCGAAAAAGGAGAAUCAGUGUACAAUAGCAAACAUUACCAUACUCUCAGAGAGGGGAACUUGAGGCCUAGAGUGCCGGUGAAAAUAAUAUUAGAACUUUUUUUGUCAGAGGAAAGACAGUUUCCCUGAUAAUAGUAUGUUAUACAUAGUGCUAUAGUGUAUACCACAGUGGUACCCUAGUAUUAUAUGGAUAAUAAAGGAUAAGGUGAAAUUUAAAACGGAAGUGUUUAGGCCAAGAGACAGGUUCAUAUUGUAAACAGUUGCCAGCAGUCAUCAGAACCUCCCACGUAGGUCUGCUAUUGUACCUGACUUAUAAUUAGUGGUUCCAGGGAGUAAAACAUUACUGUUGAAAUAGGAAGAGGUGCAAA